rnacentral:piRNA from 1 species
AGGCAUUCAAGAGCCGUCCAGCUGAA